UGACUGGCAUUACAGUCGGUUAGAAUACCGGCCUGUCACGCCGGGGGUCGCGGGUUCGAGUCCCGUCCGCUCCGCCA
rnacentral:tRNA from 1 species